GGUACACUUUGCUAACUUCAACCUGAUGAACUUAUUAUUGUUAUUCAAAACUUGGUUAAUGCCAUGUACUUGUUUCUGAAUUUUACAUAGGAAACAACAGUUCAUGCAAAGCCUCAACAAGUCCCACACACAUCGCCUCAGGUACUCCAUCACACACCUGAAAAGGAUAAAAUGCCAACACCAACAAUGGGUACCGAGGAUAUAGAUGUCACACAUAGUGCCUCCAAUGUCAGCAAGAAGAGGAAACAUAAGCAUAAAAAACAUAACAAAAGCAAAGAGAAGGAGCAAAAAAAUUCACAACAGAAAAACAUAGAAGAUGAUGGUCUUGAUCCCCUUUGGACUCCCUCCUUUCAUCAACGAUCUCCACCACCAGUUCCAAAUAAUAAACAAUUUGUGCUAGGGCAGCCUUUAGUAUCUAGUGCAUUACUUAAGAGGAUGGGUAAACAGAGCCAAUGUUUCCACAAAUGGUAUUUUGCUAUGACCACACCAAUAUCUCGAAGGCAAAGUGCCACACACUUCAU
rnacentral:misc_RNA from 1 species